AAUUCGCCCUUACUCCUACGGGAGGCAGCAGUGAGGAAUAUUGGACAAUGGAUGGAAAUCUGAUCCAGCCAUGCCGCGUGCAGGAAGACGGCCCUAUGGGUUGUAAACUGCUUUUAUAUGGGAGCAAUAAGGCCUACGUGUAGGUUGAUGAGAGUACCAUAUGAAUAAGCACCGGCUAACUCCGUGCCAGCAGCCGCGGUAAUACGGAGGGUGCAAGCGUUAUCCGGAUUUAUUGGGUUUAAAGGGUGCGUAGGCGGUUUGAUAAGUCAGCGGUGAAAUAUUUCAGCUUAACUGGAAGGGUGCCGUUGAUACUGUCAGGCUUGAAUUUAGUUGCUGUGGGUGGAAUGUGUGGUGUAGCGGUGAAAUGCAUAGAUAUCACACAGAAUAUCGAUUGCGAAGGCAGCUCACAAAGCUAACAUUGACGCUGAUGCACGAAAGUGUGGGGAUCAAACAGGAUUAGAUACCCUGGUAGUCCACACUGUAAACGAUGAUAACUCGCUGUCGGCGAUACAUAGUCGGUGGCCAAGCGAAAGCGAUAAGUUAUCCACCUGGGGAGUACGACCGCAAGGUUGAAACUCAAAGGAAUUGACGG
rnacentral:rRNA from 1 species